GGGGCUAUAGUUUAGCUUGGAUAGAAUACGAGCUUGCGGAGCUUGAGGUCGGGGGUUCAAAUCCCCCUAGUCCCG
rnacentral:tRNA from 1 species